CUACGUGCCAGCAGCCGCGGUAAUACGUAGGGCGCGAGCGUUGUCCGGAAUUAUUGGGCGUAAAGAGCUCGUAGGCGGCUGGUCGCGUCUGUCGUGAAAUCCUCUGGCUUAACUGGGGGCUUGCGGUGGGUACGGGCCGGCUUGAGUGCGGUAGGGGAGACUGGAACUCCUGGUGUAGCGGUGGAAUGCGCAGAUAUCAGGAGGAACACCGAUGGCGAAGGCAGGUCUCUGGGCUGUAACUGACGCUGAGAAGCGAAAGCAUGGGGAGCGAACAGGAUUAGAUACCCUGGUAGUCCAUGCCGUAAACGUUGGGCACUAGGUGUGGGGGACAUUCCACGUUUUCCGCGCCGUAGCUAACGCAUUAAGUGCCCCGCCUGGGGAGUACGGCCGCAAGGCUAAAACUCAAAGAAAUUGACGGGGGCCCGCACAAGCGGCGGAGCAUGCGGAUUAAUUCGAUGCAACGCGAAGAACCUUACCAAGGCU
rnacentral:rRNA from 1 species